rnacentral:rRNA from 1 species
GUCUGGUUGAUUCCGAUAACGAACGAGACUCUGGCCUGCUAACUAGUUCGUCCGUCGGGUCACCCUCGCGUGGUCGGCCGGCGGUCGCUGCUCUCGACGCCGCUCUCGUUUGGUCACUGGGAAUCGGUCGCUAUCUUGUGGCUGAGCCUCGGUGGUCGGGCGUUGGCGGUGCUGAGCAAAUUCGAACUUCUUAGAGGGACUAAUGGCUUUCAGUCAUGCGAGAAUGAGCAAUAACAGGUCUGUGAUGCCCUUAGAUGUCCGGGGCUGCACGCGCGCUACAAUGAAUGAAUCAGCGCGAGUUAUCUCCUGCUCCGAGAGGAGUGGGCAAUCAAGUGAACCUCAUUCGUGAUAGGGACUGUGCAUUGCAAUUUUUGCACAUUAACUAGGAAUUCCUAGUAAGCGCGAGUCACUAGCUCGCGUUGAUUACGUCCCUGCCCUUUGUACACACCGCCCGUCGCUACUACCGAUUGGACGUUGCAGUGAGGCUUUCGGAUCGUACCCAAGCUGUUGGUGGUUCCUUCACGGGCGCCGCCGAUGCCUAUCAGGCGUGCCGAGAAGACUGUCGAACUGCUACGUCUAGAGGUCGUAAAAGUCGUAACAAGGUUUCCGUA